ACGCUCGACACCUACGGGGGCAGCAGUGAGGAAUAUUGGUCAAUGGGCGCUAGCCUGAACCAGCCAAGUAGCGUGAAGGAUGAAGGCUCUAUGGGUCGUAAACUUCUUUUAUAUAAGAAUAAAGUGCAGUAUGUAUACUGUUUUGUAUGUAUUAUAUGAAUAAGGAUCGGCUAACUCCGUGCCAGAAGCCGCGGUAAUCUGAGCGGGCUGGCAAGGC
rnacentral:rRNA from 1 species